rnacentral:lncRNA from 1 species
GAGUUUCGUCUCUGGAGAGGGAUUUCGGCCGCCGAAAGUGCCGCCGAAGGUGCUCUGUCCAGCCUUCUUUUGCCCAUUUUUCCAUGCAUGCCUAUGAUGUUUUAGAGGGGUUUUGGGGAGCUAUGAAGAGUUAUGUUUAAGUAAGUUUGGUCCUCAUUUGAGUCCACCUGUGUAGGUACGGACCCGAGAGACCAAGGAGGCCCACAGAGUUAGAGUUACAGAGACUGCCCAGCAGUUGACAGAGGUGAGUGGAACAGAACUUUAUUUUAAAAGUUAAGAAUUGUUUUAGCAUGAUUCAUGCAUCAUUAUGCUAUGUGUAUGUAGGAUGCUUUGCAUUAGUAUUCAUCAAGUUGAUGCAUUGCAUUAUUACUUGUAUAUGUGGAUUGGACCGAGGCGAUCUCAAUAGCCCAUAAGUCUGUCAUUAUUGUAUGUCCUGUGUGAGCUCCUUUGGGGCCGGGCAUUUACCUUGGAUGAGUCCUGUGAGAGCCCUUAUAGGGUCGGGCACCAUGAGUAGUUAGUGAAAGACCUGUGUGAGCUCCUUUGGGAGCCGGGCACUGACAGAGGGAGUUUUGGGAUCAUGUCCAAUCCGAGAUGUGAAAUGUUUGUGCAGUGAUGCAUCAUAUGAUAGCAUGUUUUAAAUGUGAUUUUUUAUAGAUUCCGCUCACUGGGCUUUAGCAGCUCAUCCCUCUCCCUAACCCCAUUUUUUCAGGGCCUCAGAGAAGAGAAAGAGAAAGAGAUAGCAAGGGUAAAAGGCAUAAGUAAUAGUAUAGAAAAGUGGACAUGAUAAUGAUGUACAGUACAGAGUUUAUGUAAUGUAUAGAAAUGAUGUAAUAGCAAGUUAUGUAUUGAGUUAUAGAAUUGUGCUUGGCCCUAGUG